CAAAACAAAAAGGUCUACAGCCAUGCUAGGGGCGAGGGACUUGGGCACAUUGGUGCUUUGAGCUAAAUGCUGAACAUGCAUGGCAAAUUGUCCAUAGUCACAAAACUAACAUGCUUCUUGUUUAGAAGAUGCAAGAUCACCAUGGUAACUAUCUUAGUUUAACAUGUUAGCAUGCUAACAUUUGCUAUGUAAAUCUAAACAUAAAGUACAGCUGAGACUGAUGUAAGUGUCAUUAGUUUUGCAGGUAUUUUGUCAAAACAAAGUAUUGGACAAUGGGAAAUUUUGUUGUGAUAAUAGCAGUGAAUGAAAAAUUAAGGGGUCACCAAAGUUAUUACAGUUCAUCCUGAAUAGGAAUACAUGGAUGUAUGUUGCAAAUUUUACGGCAGUUGAGACAUUUAAUUUAAAGCUACAUGUCAACCUCAUGGCGCUAGGAGAAAAGUCAGGGGAUCACUGAAGCCAGCUGAGCAUACUGAGUUGCCGGUGUAAAAGAUGAUCUCAUUGUACCAUGAUAGCAGGCCACAGGUCUGAGGAGAGAGCAGAGCUGUCAACCUGUCAGGAGCAGUGUUCGGGUGUCUGGCCAAUGCCAGACACUACUAUGAGUUUACCGCUGGAAACACUCUAUAUCAGAGAGCAGACACACAGCAGGCAGAGGAGGACACUCUCUCCUGUCAGUCAACGGGUUCUCCCUCCUUCUGCGCCUACAACUUUAAACAUUAUUACAGUACAGAACUCUGCUGUGAUGACGUUGCCACCGUCAGCUGCACAACGAGGAAUGAAAUGUUCCAAAUCAUU